GCCCGAGUAGCUCAGCUGGUAGAGCACCUGUCUUGUAAACAGGGGGUCAGGGGUUCGAGUCCCCUCUCGGGCU
rnacentral:tRNA from 2 species